GUAGUCCACGCCCUAAACUAUGUCAACUGGUUGUUGGGGAAGGUAACUUCCUUAGUAACGAAGCUAACGCGUGAAGUUGACCGCCUGGGGAGUACGGCCGCAAGGUUAAAACUCAAAGGAAUUGACGGGGACCCGCACAAGCGGUGGAUGAUGUGGAUUAAUUCGAUGCAACGCGAAGAACCUUACCUACCCUUGACAUGUAGCGAACCCUGCUGAGAGGUGGGGGUGCCCGAAAGGGAGCGCUAACACAGGUGCUGCAUGGCUGUCGUCAGCUCGUGUCGUGAGAUGUUGGGUUAAGUCCCGCAACGAGCGCAACCCUUGUCACUAGUUGCUACGAAAGGGCACUCUAGUGAGACUGCCGGUGACAAACCGGAGGAAGGUGGGGAUGACGUCAAGUCCUCAUGGCCCUUAUGGGUAGGGCUUCACACGUCAUACAAUGGCGCAUACAGAGGGUUGCCAACCCGCGAGGGGGAGCCAAUCCCAGAAAGUGCGUCGUAGUCCGGAUUGUUCUCUGCAACUUGAGAGCAUGAAGUCGGAAUCGCUAGUAAUCGCGGAUCAGCAUGCCGCGGUGAAUA
rnacentral:rRNA from 1 species